GCUGGUUAUGGUGGCAUGUACUUGUAAUCCCAACUGCUUGGGAGACUGAGGUGGGAGGAUCACUUCAGCUCAGAAGUCUGAGACCUAUCUGGGCAACAUAGCAAGAUACCAUCUCAA
rnacentral:sRNA from 1 species